CCUACGGGUGACAGCAGUGAGGAAUAUUGGUCAAUGGGCGAGAGCCUGAACCAGCCAAGUCGCGUGAGGGAGUACUGCCCUAUGGGUUGUAAACCUCUUUUGUCGGGGAGCAAAAGCCGGACGUGUCCGGCUGUGAGAGUACCCGAAGAAUAAGCAUCGGCUAACUCCGUGCCAGCAGCCGCGGUAAUACGGAGGAUGCGAGCGUUAUCCGGAUUUAUUGGGUUUAAAGGGUGCGCAGGCGGAUUUUUAAGUCAGCGGUAAAAUCGUGGGGCUCAACCCCAUCCAGCCGUUGAAACUGGGGAUCUAGAGUGUGCGAGAGGUAUGCGGAAUGCGUGGUGUAGCGGUGAAAUGCAUAGAUAUCACGCAGAACCCCGAUUGCGAAGGCAGCAUACCGGUGCACAACUGACGCUCAGGCACGAAAGCGUGGGUAUCGAACAGGAUUAGAUACCCGAGUAGUC
rnacentral:rRNA from 1 species